CCAAAAACGGAAGUAAUAAUCCUUUUUAGAAAAGUUUUUCUACUAAACUUGAUAGAUAAAUUAUUAUUUAGUCUCUAAAGAAUUUAAUGGAAAUUUAAGUGCCCCCAGUCUAAAACAUUAAAAAAAUUAUAUAAAUAUAAACUUAGUAAAACUAAAAUGUUAAGGUAAACACGGUGCCAGCAACCGCGGUCAAACCUUUGUUAACAAAUAAUUAAAAAAUCUGCUUUACAACCUUAAAAUUUUUAUACGUGGGGCUAACAGUAAAAUGCAACUACAUCCUUUAAUUUAACAAAAUUUUAUAGCCUUUAGGUAAAAUAGGGGUAAAAAACUAGGAUUAGAGACCCUAUUAUUCUUAUAUUUUAUAAAGUAGAAUUGAGGAGUAAAAGAUAUUAAGAAACUCAAAAGUCAUGGCGGUUGUUGAAACUAAUCAGGGGAGCUUACCAAGUAAUUGACAACCACCAAGAAUUUUUCUCUUUCACUAAAAGUUUGUAUGCCGUCGUCAGAAAUUUUUCUAAGAAAAGUUUUUCUUAAUAGCCCUUUAUUUACCUCAAGACAGAUCAAGGUGCAACUAAUGUGAAAGAUUAGGCGAGCUACAAUAACAACAAUUUUAUCGGAUAUAGACAUAAAAGUCAACUUGAAGUUGGACUUGAAAGUAAUUCUUAAAAUAAUAAUUAAGCACUGAAUAUACAUUUUUAACAGUGC
rnacentral:rRNA from 1 species